AAGGCGUAUCCCCAAAAGCCUGUAAUAGAGUAGGGA
rnacentral:ncRNA from 1 species